UUGUUCUUUCAUCCUAUUUCAUCCUAUCUUUCUCUAUCUUGCUGCUUCUAGGCCAGAGAGGGCUCAGGUAGCCCUUACUGCAGGAGGAAGUAUCUCCACAGUGUUGUUGUGGAAUAAAGGAAUAAUUCUUUUCCCUCAGCUGAAAGAAGUAGCCCCACACACCAGUGAAGGUGACACUUCAUCUUCCAUCAAAUCUGCCCCUAGGAACAGCUUUUGCAGAAUGGCUCUUCUGUUUGCAUUAAUAUUGACUUGAGACAUCAUGGCCCUAGCUGCAUGGAACAUGUGUACACUGCGCACCUCGCUUCAGAAGAUAUGUUACAUUUGGAGGGGAGGGUAUGCAUGCCCACAGAAUGGAAAAAGUCAAAGAUCCAAUUGCAUACAAACAGUUCUUCUAUAGACAUUCCAAGAUGCCAUUUGUGCAGACGGAAAACAAACAUCCAGAGACAUGUCCACUUGGGUAUAUUAGGCUAGCCUUACACUGUCUCCUGCUGGAGUUCCUAAAGAGACCAGAUCA
rnacentral:lncRNA from 1 species